CCGCCGCCGACCAAGGCCUCUCUCUGCUCUGGCUUCUCUUCGAGUAGCACUCGUGUUGUUCUUGUCAGCAAUUGCAGUUCGAUUUUUUUGGUUCCGUUUGCUUCUAUAGCAUCUUCGUUUUCGUUUUUUCGUCAAUUACUCAUUCGUAUUGCUGGGUUGAUUUGAUCCGGGGAGCAUUGUCCCAAUGUCUUUGGCCGCCGCUUCUCUCGGCGGAUCCGAGUUCAACUAUGCUCCCGAGAGCUAAAUCCGGUGGCGCUUAGAGCGCAGAUCCGACCAGAUGGAUACUGGGUUACGCUCGCCCCCAAAUUCCUUUCCUCCCGCCGCUUGAAUCUUUUGGUUUAUCUCGUUUUGCUAUCGAUUGGGUUCUGAACAAGUGUUGCGGUUGGCUUGGUGCAGUGAUUAUACAAACAUUCCUCGAACUGACGGGAGAUCCCCCGUGAUCGACUCCUAUACACCCAUAGAAUCUGAGCGCCAUCCCAUACUUCCUAGCCCUGUUCAGUUUUAUAUCCUUUUUGUUUUCGUUUCUUUGUUUCCCGUCCGAGAUUUGUUUUACGCUGUUCUUUAUCUUGAACGUUUUGGUCUGCUGUUUGUCCGUGUGUUGGUUAUGAUUUAAGUGAUUCGCGGCAUUGAUAUGUCGCCUUCGAGAGAAGCGGGUGGAUUGUUUGGUGCCAUGCCGGUUCCGUUGCGGGCGUAGACCGAUCUUUUAGAGCCUCCACCGUGUCUCACCCAUCGCAUCUUCUGUUGUUGGGUGUCGGAUUGGUUCUUGGAAAUUUUCAGUUUCCCGUUCAUGUAUUGCUUUUCUGUUAAUUUUUUAGAAGUAAUAUUAAUGAACGAAGUUUGCCAAUUUUGUUGUGCUAGUUUGCUUCAGUUGGAUUGAUUACUAUCUGAACAAAGAUGUUGAUUUGAACGAGGGAUGGUUGUGAUUUGGUGCAGUGAUUAUAAAAACAUUCCUCGUACUGACGGGAUCUCCCCUGUGAACGACUACUAUACACCCAUAGAAUCUGAGCACCAAUCAAUCAUUUCAGUUGGUUUCGUCUCUUUUUUGGUGAACACCGGCUUAUCUCGAAAGGGAACCCGUAGUGUCAGCACAAUCUCAAUCGAGACAAAGGGGAAGAGCGUCAUCUCUGCUUGGUGGAGUAGUUUUUGGUCCUUUUGGAAUUCAGCCGGGCGGAGGCCGCGGCCGUAGUGAUGCGAUCGUUGCAGCCCAAAUUGCAGGCUAGGAAAUUUUCCAUGCCCCGGGCCACGGCCCAGGUUCCUCGUGGCCCAGACCGUCCGUGGAGGACGAGGCCCGUGUCGUACAGCAAGUAUCUGGAUCUGAGCUGAAUUUGCUGAACGUGAAGAAAGAAAAAUGACAAGAGACUACAGUGAAUAGUGCGAGGGGGUGGACACCUCGAUGGAACGCAUGGAAUGGUGAGAUUCCAUGUUGAUGGAGGAAUUAAAUUGCAGAGAACACCAAUGGUGCGGUGCGGUAUGUGGCAGCGGGUUGCAGGGAACAGAACCGGGAUCGUUAAAUUUGCAACUUGUCUUGAGGCCGGAAGACACGUAUGGUUUGUAAUUUUGUAUCCCUGUAAACAUUGCAAUACAAUAAAAGGUUUUCCCCGCUGA